rnacentral:tRNA from 1 species
AACGAUGUAGUUUAUGUAAGAAUAUUGAGUUUGCGUCUCAAAGGAGGAUUUAGUCUCUUUGUUA